rnacentral:misc_RNA from 1 species
UGGUUCCUUCCUGAGGGCUCUUUUUCAAUGCCUUGAUUUCUUUCUUGUCAUAUUCACAGGAAAAUCACCAUAAUGCGGGACAAAACUAUGAUGUAACCGUCUAGCAAUUGAUACCACAUUGACCGUUAGCAGCCUUUGUCGAGGCUGAGGUAAAUGGAUCGAUUCGCACCCAGAGCAAUGAGAAAAUGGAAGCAAGGAGAAUG